rnacentral:rRNA from 1 species
GACAGAGGAUGCAAGCGUUAUCCGGAAUGAUUGGGCGUAAAGAGCUCGUAGGCGGUUUGUCGCGUCUGCCGUGAAAGUCCGGGGCUCAACUCCGGAUCUGCGGUGGGUACGGGCAGACUAGAGUGAUGUAGGGGAGACUGGAAUUCCUGGUGUAGCGGUGAAAUGCGCAGAUAUCAGGAGGAACACCGAUGGCGAAGGCAGGUCUCUGGGCAUUAACUGACGCUGAGGAGCGAAAGCAUGGGGAGCGAACAGG